rnacentral:lncRNA from 1 species
GAGGAACUGGUACUGGUACUGGUAGAGGUAGAGGUACUGGUAGAGGUAGAGGUAGAGAAAACUGUAAAGGUACUGGUAGAGGUAGAGGUACAAGUAGAGGUAGAGUUACUGGUAGUGGUACUGGUAGAGGUAGAGAAAGUGAUAAAGGUACUGGUAGAGGUAGUGGUACUGGUAGAGGUAGAGUUACUGGUAGUGGUACUGGUAGAGGUAGAGGUACUGGUAGAGGUACUGGUAGAGGUAGAGGAAGAGAUAGUGGUAGAAGUAGAGUUACUGGUAGAGGUACUGGUAGAGGUAGAGUUACUGGUAGUGGUACUGGUAGAGGUA